rnacentral:rRNA from 1 species
ANACGCUGGCGGCGUGCCUAACACAUGCAAGUCGAACGGAGUUUACUUAUUAGAUUCCUUCGGGAUGACGAUUUGUAAACUUAGUGGCGGACGGGUGAGUAACGCGUGAGCAACCUGCCUUUCAGAGGGGGACAACAGUUGGAAACGACUGCUAAUACCGCAUAAUGUUAUUUGGGGGCAUCCCUGGAUAACCAAAGCUUUAUGUGCUGAAAGAUGGUCUCGCGUCUGAUUAGCUAGAUGGCGGGGUAACGGCCCACCAUGGCGACGAUCAGUAGCCGGUCUGAGAGGAUGAACGGCCACAUUGGGACUGAGACACGGACCAGACUCCUACGGGAGGCAGCAGUGAGGAAUAUUGGUCAAUGGGCGAGAGCCUGAACCAGCCAAGUCGCGUGAGGGAAGACGGUACUAAGUAUUGUAAACCUCUUUUGUCAGGGAACAAAGAGACCACGCGUGGUAAGAUGAGUGUACCUGAAGAAAAAGCAUCGGCUAACUCCGUG